AUGCAGCAAAUUUCACCAGCCAGACAGUGUCGUCAUGGCAACAGACUUUUGGUACCACAGAUGAAGGGGUCAAGCAAUAGGCGAGGACAUAAAAGGACAGAGUCACAGAGGAGGAUUUUCCCGCUGAAAUAUAAAUCCAUCUUUAAAAAAAAUAAUAAUAAUAAUAAUGAAGCUGAAGGAUCAGAACACCCACAGACAGAAUCCCCUUUUGAGCAUCAACCACCAAAUCAGACACAAAGGUUUCUGCGCAGUUUUGACACAGAUGACAGCGACAGACCUGGCCAAGCCAGCAGGAGCAAUGUGGGGUUGAGUGUACCUGUCCAACACGUGGGCAGUCAGGGGGAACUGAACCUGCAAUCAUUCUGCCAGAGGAAGAUUCUGUGGCUCGCUUUGAAUAAAAAAGUAAAGCAAUAUUUUUUGUAACUAUUUUUUUGGGGAGAAAAUGUGCUGGUUUUGACUUUACGAACCCAGCCUCUAGUGGUCAUUUGGGGUACUUCAACAUUUGGUCCCAAUUGGUUUAAUAUAAAUCUUCCUUCAACUCUAAAUAAAUAAAAUUAAAUGAUUAAAUAGAAAAAAACUAUUUAUGAACCCACACUGUGUGAACUUGAGUCACAACCUUUCCAGGCACAUCUUGGGAGUCUUCUGGGAAGCGUUUAUGGGAAUAUUUGAUGGUUCUUCCAGAAGCACAUCUGUGAACUCACACACUCAUGUGGGAGGAGAGGACCUGGCUUACCCUCUUUGUGCUCUAAAUGGUCCUGAAAAUGCUGGGUCUGGUUGAAAUGAACCAAGUUCUUCAACACUGAACCAGCUCGUCCAUGUCUUUACUUCUAUUUCUAAUGUAAAUCAGCUCUGAGACAUUGGCUUGUAGUAGGGGUGUGCAUUUGCAAGAGUGUGACGAUACGAUAUGUAUCGCAAUACACAUGUUGCAAUAAAAUAUGUAUCCCAAUUUAUCCCAAGACUGUACUGGAACCAUUUUUAACUUAUUUUUAAACACUAUGACUUAGAAAAAGUCAAGUUUCAUAACAACAAAAACCACGAGGCCAAUAAGACCGAACAUUUAAAUCGAUACAAGUAUCGUCAAAUACAAUAUCGCGAUAUAUCACCUAUUCAGUUUUCCCUGCA